rnacentral:rRNA from 1 species
AUUGAACGCUGGCGGCAGGCCUAACACAUGCAAGUCGAGCGGAUGAAGGGAGCUUGCUCCUGGAUUCAGCUGCGGACGGGUGAGUAAUGCCUAGGAAUCUGCCUGGUAGUGGGGGAUAACGUCCGGAAACGGGCGCUAAUACCGCAUACGUCCUGAGGGAGAAAGUGGGGGAUCUUCGGACCUCACGCUAUCAGAUGAGCCUAGGUCGGAUUAGCUAGUUGGUGGGGUAAAGGCCUACCAAGGCGACGAUCCGUAACUGAUCUGAGAGGAUGAUCAGUCACACUGGAACUGAGACACGGUCCAGACUCCUACGGGAGGCAGCAGUGGGGAAUAUUGGACAAUGGGCGAAAGCCUGAUCCAGCCAUGCCGCGUGUGUGAAGAAGGUCUUCGGAUUGUAAAGCACUUUAAGUUGGGAGGAAGGGCAGUAAGUUAAUACCUUGCUGUUUUGACGUUACCAACAGAAUAAGCAACGGCUAACUUCGUG